rnacentral:rRNA from 1 species
GUUGUCUGCCAUACUAAGGUGAUUACACCGAAUCCCAUUCCAACUCCGAAGUUAAGCGCCUUAAGGCUCUUUUAGAAUUAAGUUGGGGGACCGCUUGGCAAGUCCCAUUGUCUACAGCC